CGGCUGGCGGAGAUUGAGCAACGGGGAAAGGCGGGAGGCACCUCCCCUCUUCCGGAUCCAGCACCCGCAGACCUGGUCAGCCCUUCCUGAGAUCUGCCCUGUGGAGCUCUGCUUUGGGGACUGGGUGUGAGGUGAACCAGAAGGAUUUGCUGAGCACCGAGAAAGCACCGGCCUAGGCGCAAAGAGCCGGGGGCCAGCUCUUGGAGGGCCUGGAGACCCCACGUGGUCCCGACCGAAGGACCUGGUGCGUCCAGGUUAACGGAGCUGGGGCGCUCCAAGUCCGGGGGACGAGGGAGCGGCAUGGAGGGGAGCAGGGGCAACUGGGCCUGGUUCCCUUUUUUCCCGCUUACUCUUUGUUUCAGACACAGCCCCCUUUCACUGGCUGGGCACUUGCUUGCAGAGGAGUUGUGUCUUAAAAUGGCGACAGGAAAUCCCACCUGCGCCUCAGCCAAUUAGACUGUCAUAGCGCGAAUUUGCAGGGUGGAAACGCGAGCUUUUUAUUGAUAGGGAAGGUUCAGUCUCCUGUUCAUGGUUCAUCAAAACAGGAAAGGGAAGGUGAAUCAUAAUUCAAAAAUUAACUACCUGGAGCGUUUCAAGUAGACAGUAGUCAUUGUAUUUGGGUGAAUUUUGCUUUUUCAUCACCACUGGAAAAGCAAGAUGAUAACCAAAUUUGAAACUCAUCACGGACUAAACUUCUUAUUCCCUUCGAAUGGCAGUAAAUGGCCUUUAUUAGUUCAACAGUGGCUUCCUGAGAAUCCUAUUUAGAAGGCAUGCUCUUGAGAAAUACUGAAAAACAGAAAGUUCAGAGCAAACCAAAAGGGCAAACACAUGGGCAGCCUAGCUCAGACAGACCUGCAUUCAAUUUCUUCCUCUGACACUUACUGCUUCC
rnacentral:lncRNA from 1 species